AAUCUUGCGCAAUGGGCGAAAGCCUGACGCAUCCUUGCCUCGUGAUUGAUGAAGGUCUUAGGUUUGUAAAAUUCUUUCACCGGGGACGAUAAUGACGGUACUCGGCGAAGAAGCCCCGGCUAACUUCGUGCCAGCAGCCGCGUAAAUACGAAGGGGGCUAGCGUUGCUCGGAAUUACUGUGCGUAAAGGGCGCGUAGGCAGACAUUUAAGUCAGGGGUGAAAUCCCAGAGCUCAACUCUGGAACUGCCUUUGAUACUGGGUGUCUUGAGUGUGAGAGAGGUAUGUGGAACUCCGAGUGUAGAGGUGAAAUUCGUAGAUAUUCGGAAGAACACCAGUGGCGAAGGCGACAUACUGGCUCAUUACUGACGCUGAGGCGCGAAAGCGUGGGGAGCAAACAG
rnacentral:rRNA from 1 species